rnacentral:lncRNA from 1 species
CGGCCAUAGCAACAACAAAGGAAGAAAAGAAGAACAAAAACCCUAGAGUGAAAAUUCAAGAGAAAAUUGGUAGAUUUCAAGUAAUCAAGCAAUCAAAGGUAAAAUUUCUUGAUUUUGACUUGUGAUCUACCUUUCCCAUGCAUUCUUUUGCAUUUUCCAUGGUUGCAUCAUAUGAUUUCGUGAUGGGUAUCUUGCUGAUCAAACCCUAGGAGAGAGAAUUUGAUGAUGAUUUAAAUAGAUUUUUAAGAUAUAUGGAUGUUUUUAGUUGUUUAUGGUGUUAAGUGUAAGAAUUAAGCUUGAAAUUCACAUAUUCCUCAUGAGUUCAUCAUAGGCCAAAUCUUCCUUGUAGAGUGUUGAUGGUGGAUUUGAUUUUAUUUCAAGUGAAUUGGUUAGGAAAUGAUGAAUUAUGGUGAGAAAAUCAAGUAAGAAAAAUCAUAGUGUUGAUGCACCCACCAUGGCCGAAAUUCUCAAGAGAAAAUGUGAAGAUGAUUUUACUAAAUUUUAUGCUAUUUGACUUGUGUUUGAUGGUUUGGAGAAUUGGAAGAAAAAUGGAGUUGAUUAGUGUUGAAUUGGACAUAUUGGCCAAUUCAUUGGGUGAUAGAUCAAAUUAGGCCAAUACCGUUUUAUUUAGGUACAUAAUUGAAAUUGUGUAGAAUACCGUGUUUAGACGAUAAUCCGAACAAUUUGCAUUCCAUUUCAUGCAUUAGUAAAGAGCCUGAAAUAGAUUUUAUAAUGGUAUGACACAGUAUAUUGAAUUAUGUGUCGUGUAUUGUAUAUAGGUGGUGAGCUCUCUAACAAGGGUAAAGACGUUGCGUCAGAGGACUGAGAAUAGGAGUAUUUUAAACUCCUGACAUUGUGAGUAACCUUAUUAUCGUCUUAAUUAUCUAAAGUAUGUUUUUAUCCAAUUUUGUAAUUUCAUGAAAAAUGAGUUUAAAUAGUAAAUCUUUAUGUUUUAUAAACAAAAUGAGUUUAAAUGAAAUGAUUUUAUAAAUUGUCUUGAAAUUGAAUGAUGGCUUGGAAAAUAGAGUAAUUGGAGACCACUUAAUUGUGUUGUAAAUUUUUGGUUCUAAUUGAUUGGCUUAUGGCAAUAUUGGCAUGAAUGGUUGAAUUUCUAAAUGUGUUGAAAAUAUAUGAACUAUUGAUUUGCGUUGAGAGGCUGUAAAAUAAGAUAAUUGCCAUGUCAUGCUAUUGCAAAUUUUAUUGUAUGGUGGGUUUAGCUUGCUGCAGUGGGCGGGUUUCUGUGGACCAGCUUAUUAGAGGGGCAUGGUAAAACCCUUCAUAUUUUACCUCGGUUGGAGAGGCGUGUAGGGUAACUCCCGAGGUACAAUUUUAGAGUUCACUUCAUGCCAAACCACCACAUGAGGGUGAACUCAGCCAACGCCAAGGAAUGACUAUGUUUUCAAAUAAAAACAUGAUUUAUGCGUACAUAACUUUUUAAUAGCCUUGGUGGAUUCGGUUUGGGAUAGCCCUCGGCCAAGGUAUCCCUGACAACUGAGUAUGAGAAUAAUUUUGGCACAAGCCAAGUUUUUAAGAAAUUUAUAAGCCAUUUGAUUACUCGAUUUUUACAAAUUGAUUUUAUAUGGUUGAAAUGAGUUGAAAGGUGAUGAAUUUUAGUAUAAUGGUCUAUUUUAUCUGUCUCCAUUUACUCAACUUUAGAUAUUUUGGAUGAUGUUUGUUUACUCACUGGGAUUAUAUAAUCUCACCAACCUCCUUUCCACCCCUUUCAGGCUUAGGAUAGUCGGUAGAUAGCUCAUUUCAUCGAGAGCUACCAUUGGAUUUGCAUCCCCCAAAAACUGUAGGUUUACCGUUUGUCAUGACCCGGAACCUCCUUUGGGCCCAUGACAACGGCACGACAUCCUGAUUGAUACUCAUUACCCGAAAUACCAAUCGAAACUCCGCAAGGCUUUCAUAUCAGUUUUAAACAAUUUUCAGUCGUUUUCGGCUCAAGUAAAUCAAAAGACAAAAAUAUAGCAUUUUUAUAUAAAACAAUAUUUAUAGAAACACGUGUAAGUAAUUUUUUGUAACUUAGAAGUAAA